rnacentral:tRNA from 4 species
GACCCCAUCGUCUAGAGGUCUAGGACACCAGGUUUUCAUCCUGGUAACACGGGUUCGAUUCCCGUUGGGGUCGCCA